CUACAAACCCUGCAGAUGUGUGGAUCUGCAUAUCAUUUACCAAAGAUUCCUGCAUGAACAUCUGCGUUUUGCAAUAAUUUUCCAGUUAUCUUGAGCUCUCAGAAGGAUUGCCAGAAGGGACACUCAGAUGAAGGCACCAUCUACUGUCGCAGGGGCUUUUGAGAUGUCCUGAGCUUUCUUUGUGAAGGAGACAGUGCACCAACAUGGGUACAAAGUUCCCCCCACACAAAGCACUAGACCUGGACCUGCUUCUUUUUCCUACUGUGCACCUUUCCUGAGCCUCCUCUCAGGACUCCUGGAAAACA